UGAUAUUUAUAUAUUAAAAAAGGAACUACGAGCCCAUGGUUCCCACUUGCUCCACGUGUCGCAGUACACCGUAUUAAUAAACUCACACUUUACCCACCAUCAUCUACCUUUCCUGAACACUGCGUGCUGCUCUCCAUUCUCUCUCUGCCCCUCCUCACAUGCAUAGCAUGACUUUAACCAUUCCAACGAAUCCGAAAUAGACGCGUGGACCCCACUGUACGAUGACGUGGCGUUGACCGAGCCAUAACCCAGUCAAAGAGUCGCCAUUCCAACCCGACGCCCACAGCGGCGCCGUACUCUUCCAUCCCAUUGAAUGCAUCCCCCUUUCUAUUUCCUUUCAAAAUCCACUCGCUUACUCGGUCGUCGCUCUCCCCGGUCGCCGUUCUUCUCUCCGGUCCCGCCGAGAUUGCUUCCACCCAUCGGUCACGGGCUUUAGGUGAAACAGCAAACCGACGAAGAAGCCGUAGCUAUAUUAAUGGACGGCUGCCCGACCCCAUCGCGACGGCAGUGAGAUAGCAUGGACGGCGAGGAUACUCCCACCCCCAGGAAGUCCCUCUGGCGCUCCGCCUCCUGGACCGCCCGCUCCUCCCCCACGUCCCAACCAAACCUGCCCCCGAACCCGGCCCGCCCGCCGGCGAAACUCGGCCGGCUCGCCCUCCCGCCUCUCCAGCCUCUCUCCGUCGCCCGCCGGCCGGUCCUGAACGAGUGGCCUCGCCCCGGCUCCGACGACUCCGGCGAGUGGCCGAUUUGCCGGAAUUGCCCUCCUCCGACGCCGUCGGCCGCCGGGUCGUCGUCGUCGUCGUCGUCGGCGGCGGCGGCGGCGGCGACGGCGAGGGAGUGCUCCCGGGUGGCUGAUCACGUCUACCUGGGGAGCGACGUGGCGGCGCGGGACAGGGACGUGCUCCGGCGGCACGGGAUCACGCACGUGCUCAACUGCGUGGGGUCGGCGUGCCCGGAGUACUUCCGGGGGGAGCUGGUCUACAAGACGCUGUGGCUCCACGACUCCCCCGCGGAGGACAUCACCAGCGUCCUCUACGACGCCUUCGACUACUUGGAGGACGUCCGGCUCCACCGCCCCGACGGCCGCGUCCUCGUCCACUGCCGCCGAGGCGCCUCCCGCUCCGCCGCGCUCGUUAUCGCCUACCUCAUGUGGCGCCAAGCCCUCUCCUUCGACGACGCCCUCCGCCGCGUCCGCGCCGCCCGGGCGGUCACCGACCCCAAUCUCGGCUUCGCCGCGCAACUCCUUCAGUGUCAGAGCCGCGUCCACGCGCUGCCGCCCAGCCCCGGGUCGGCCCUCCGGGCCUACCGGAUGGGCCCCCACUCCCCCUACGACCCUCUCCACCUCGUCCCCAAGGCCGUCGCCGACCGGCUUCCCCGAUUCCUCGACUCCCGGGGGGCGUUUCUCGUCCACGUCCCGGCGGCGAUCUACGUGUGGGUCGGCCGCGAUUGCGAGCCGACCAUGGCCGCCAGCGCCGGCGGGGCGGCGCUUCAGGUCGUCCGCUACGAGCGGGCCCAGGGGCCGAUCGUCACCGUCCUGGAGGGCUCCGAGCCGCCCGACUUCUGGGCCGCCCUCCGUGACCCAAAUUCUUCGAGCUCCGAAGCAACGGAUCUUGAUGUCGGGGUGGUCGGGAAGAGGAGGGUCGAGCUCUAUGAUCUUGAUUUCGAGAUCUUCCGGCGGGCGCUCAAGGGCGGCGUGGUGCCGCCGCUCCCGAUGCCGGGGAGCGAGGCCGAGACCCGGCUUCCGGCGAGGGAGAGCGGGUGGAGCCGGUUGAGGCACAAGUUCUUGAAAGGUGGGAUAAAGGAACUUGUGACAGCAGCAGCGGCAGCAGAGGUUGAAGGAUCUAGUGAUGAGCAAUCAGUGACAGGGGAUCAGGUUCCGUCGCCAGGCUCCUUCUCGGUCGAGUCGAGCACCACUCCAUCGUCUUCGUCGGCUGACUCUUCUUCUACUCUGUUCACAUUUUCUCCGGCAUCGUCAUCUUCUUCUGAUUGGUACAAUUCCUCGCCGCCGAGAUUGGAUUUAUUUGGGACACCACUGAUUCAUCUUGAUUCUAAGUCACUACCUUUGCACAAGAGAAUGGAGAGGGAAAAAGAUGCAUCCGUUUCUGUUUCUUCUGGUGCUCCUCGGUCUCUAGCUGAGCGUAGAGGAACCAGGGCUCCCUCUCUUGCCCUGUUACCGGAGGCUGAUGACAAGAAGGCGAAGAUCUCCCCCAGAGAUAUAAUAAGGGAUUGGUGCUAUUCUCCUCCUUUCAUUUCAGAAUUGGAAGAAGACCGAGGAACCAUGGAUAUAGAGCAAAGGCUUUCAUUGGAUUCAUCUCCAGACUGGAUGGAUGCUGAGGAAGAGAGUGUUAGCACUGAAGGUCAUGCUCGGUUAACUCAUGCAGUUCUUUUCAGGUGGCCUGAUAUGGAAAAAGUGGAAAUAAUUCACCCCGGGGUCCUCGACUCUGAAUCCGUGUUUGUUUUGUUAGCACCGAAGUCUAAAUCAGGUAGAAGAAAGACAAAGAAGAAUAUUAUGUAUGUCUGGCUAGGAAGACAGAGUCCGCAGAUGAGCUGUGGCAGUGGGAGUGAGAUGAGUGAAGGAGACGGAGAUGAUGGGCAUACAUAUUUGCAUAGGAUUGGCACCGAGUUUUUUGAUCAUAUGGGGCUUCCAGCCGAUAUUCCUGUACAGAUAAUUAGAGAGGGCGAGGAGCCAGAGCAGUUCUUGAACCACCUGUUUUCAUUUCACCAAGCUAACAAGAGUAGUCAGAGUUGAUAAUGCUAAAGAUGACUUAUGAGAUUUGGAGCUCCAACUAAUCUUUCCAAGCACAGAAGCAAUGGUUGAACUGGAUGAAUCGCAGCAGGAUAACACAAAUAAAAUUAAUUUAGACAAUUUCAAUUCGAUGUGAAAGUGUAACACGCAUGAUAUUUAACGAUUACUUUAGGAUUAUAGCACAAGGGACAGGUGAUUGAAGGUGUUGCAGACACACGCCACCACCAGACGAUGUGAGACAAAGCACAACAAAUUUCCUAAUGGAGAAAAUUAAAUCAUUGGGGGAUAAAUAUAACAGACAAGAACUUGUAAUUGUAUGACCACACCUAUGUGAUGAAGUUGCGCAAAUAAAUUCUUUCAAUGAUAUGUAAAAGUUUGGCAUGUGGAAUUCGGUUCAUUUUUCUCAUCAGGACCAUUAUGACUGAAGAAGAUGUACAAGAUAUCACAUAUUGCUUCAAGAAAUGGUUAUUCUAUCUCCUA